AGCCUGAGCCAGGAACAGUCCAGUAAAACCUGCUCUUCUCCUAACCCAAACUCAUCUGGCACCCUCAGCCUCAGCAGGACCUUUCCCAGGGAGCUGUCACUGCUGUUUCUCCUUCCAGAGCAGAAAUGGUGCCUGAUGGUUUGUGUCUCCUAGCAGCCAUCCUUUAAAAACACUGGCAAUAAAUAGGUACUUCCAGGAUUUGAUUCUCUUGAUCAGCUCAGACACUUGAGUUUUGAGAAAAACAUACUGGAAAAGGGCACCUAAGAGAGAGCAAUAUGUCCAAGCUCUCAGAACAGUUAUGGAGAUCUGUUCAACUCAGUCACUGGACACCAGAGAACGAUUCAGUUCACUUUACAAGGCACAACUACCCUUCACAGCAAAGACUAUGUCCACUGACACACUAGACACUUAAUGAACAGGCUUAAAUCCUGGAUUCAGCCUCCAGUCUAGACCCAAAUCCUACCCUUACCUUAAGGCCGAGAUGAAUCAUGUGCUGUUUCUCACCACUUGUUACGAAGGGAGCAUCAACAGCUGAGGAGUGGACACGUUCAUGCUUUCUUCACCUGAGUUGUGCUCUCAAAGUAGGAUCUAGAGCUCAAAGUAGUGUCUUUUCUAAGCUGCAAAUCAGACUGAGCAGGUCUCAUGCCACGUCUAGGUGCUCUGUUCCUCCUCCUCCUUGUGCAAACUUCACGCAUUGCUGGAACAGAAGAUGGAUUGCUCAGGUUCUGUGAGAUCAAGGUGCAAGACCUUCCAUGAGGAAAAAUUGUGUAGAGGCUAAGGGUUGAGGUAUGCCUCAAACGUUCUCAGAUAUCUGUUUCACCAUGAACCAAACACAAAGACAGAAAGGGACUUCUUAAUUCCACUCUUCUUCUUCCCUCUUCUUGUAGUAGGGGGAUUUGCUUAAUUCUUUACAGCUGACCCAGGCCUUCUACCCUGACAAUCUCUGUGCUAAGUUUACGGCAUGCAGCUGUGGUCCUUCUGCUCAGGGCAAGAAUGUUAACCCUUCCCCUGACAAUCCUUGAACUGGUUAUUAUACACAGUCCAUCACACGUAUCUGAUUUGAGACACCACCAGAUGGUUGUUAUUUAGGUGAAAGCAGACCCAAAUAGAAUAAUGGUCCAAAACUCUACAAGGUCAGUUACUAAACUACUAAUUUGCGAUCAGAAGUUGGAAGAAAGAAAUAUGUUGGCAUGGAGAAGGGGCAUGGAUGAGAACUGUUUGAGUUCUUCAGUCCCUUUGCAUUCCUCCUCUUGAAGAACUUUCAAGCCUAAGCAGACAGCUUUUUUCUUCCAUCAACUAUCUUGUUUGGGGGCUUGGGUCAAGUUUUUUCUUAAUGUGCUGUUCUGAAACACAAACCUUCUUAAGGAAAGGUUGAACUUAAUUCACAGCAGAGCCAGAAAAAGAGAGCCAACCUUCCGCUGGCACUUCUACAUCUGAAAAGGGAAGAAAAUUGACACCUGGAAAUGCUGACAUUUCGGAAAACAAAUCUUAGCCAUUUUGAGCACAAGUAGGAUGCUGGCAAAAAACAUGACAUUGAAGCAGGAGGAAUGUAGGAAAACUUACAAAACAAAACCUGAGAGGACUAUUUAGGAACAAAUAAAUAAUGAGUGUGCUUAGCA
rnacentral:lncRNA from 1 species